CAGAAUGAAGUUGAAACCAGUCAGAGGCCUCUCAGCCAUCAUGGUAUUGCAUAAUGAAUGAAAAUCUGCUUGUACUUUUCAGCAUUGAGUUCUGAUCAGAUCAGCGACUCCAUUUGCAGAAAUAUAGCCCAAACUGCAGGGAACGUCCACCAUAUUUCACUGCCUGCUGCAAACGCUCAUCCACAUUGUGCUUUCCAGCUCUUCUACGGACAGAGUGCUUCCUGCUUGAGCCAAAAUGUUCAAAUUUUAACUCAUCAGUCCAGAGCACUUCAAAGGUCUGUCCAGUUUAAUGUCAGAGAAAUGUAUACAAUAUACAUCCUGAAAUGCUUUUUCUUCACAACCAUCCACGAAAACAGAGGAGUGCCCCAGAGAAUGAAUGACCAUUAAAUGUUAGAACCUCAAAGUCCCCCCCAGCUCUCUUCCCUCACGUGUGUAAGCUUCAGCGAGCAACAAUCCCUCCUCCCCCCACCAGCAAGAAAAAGCAUUGGCACUGCCACCAAGCAUCAAGCGUGAACAAAACAAUAGCAAAGACACGGACUUCCAGUUACCCCAAAGACUUUGCGUUUCAUUUGGUAUUCGACAUACAACAAGCUCUCCCUCUCUUUCCCUAAAAAGGGAGAAGGAGGUGUCUCCAUUUUCUGCCAUUGUUUACCACCUUUGUCCUCGUGUAUGUGAGUACCUUGGCUCAGUUUGCACUUUAGAGGAAUGGCUUUUUGGCAGCAACUCUUCCAUAAAGAUGACUUCUAACAAGACUUCUUCAGACUGUAGAGGGGUGACUUGGGUUCAAAUGGUUUCUAUUAGUUUACAGCCGAUAGCAGUGCUGGACAACUUCUGAUUUGAAAGGGACAACUAUUUGAUGUAUCUCUCGUCUGCUGCAGUUUCCUCAGCUGACAACUGCAUUUUUGAUCCACAACCUUGCACAUCUCCUUGUGCUUCUUCAGAAGAGCUUGGGCAGCUCACCUUGAAACUCCUGUCUGCCGCAAAUUGUCUGCUUAGGAGAGACCCUGCAGAGCGGGAUAACCACCUUGUGUCUUGUUCCUGAGUUCUCUUGCCAUGGGAUAAGAACUGAUGAUUUGAAGGUUUAACUGCUACAUCUGUCACACCCUCACCUUUUAGUUUGGUUGUCCUUUGCUCAGUUUGAUUCCCUCUACACCCAUUUCUGUUUCGGAUAAUCAGUUUAGUUCACUCAACUCAUUAUGUCAUUGAUCAUUGUUAUUGUGCUGUCUUUACGACAGUUAUUUAGUUUAUAAUAUUUUCGCUUAGUAAUUCAUUCAAUAGUAUUUUCUAGUUAGAAUUAGAAGUGUUUAAAGUAUAUUCAUUGCAUGUAAAAUAUAUCGGCAUGCGAUGACGUCACAUCCGGUUUCGCCGCGUCUUGUGGGAAAACACCGGUUUGAAAUUAGCGCGAGGGUGGGGGCUUUCCACGAGGCACACCUGAGCACAAGCAGUUUGCAGGCAUGAGAAAUCACAGUGAGAGCAACGCUGUAAGUUAAUAGAUAAUCGAUAUAUUGAACUAAGAUAUUAAUGCUGAUCCUGUUAGAGGUAACGUCGGUAGAUAAUGUUUAUGCUUUCGUUAGUUAAAGAGUCGCGGAUAGUUUGCAUGGAAGUGUAUUUAAAGUAGUCAAUGGAGCAGGUAAACUCUCCCUGUAUACUGCACCUUAGUGUAAUGUAGUUAUAGUCACCUUUGCAAGUAUUUACACUUGAAAUGUGAUAUUAAGGAAGGAACAAAUACUGUAUCAAUCUUGUAUUGUUUUAUCAACAGUUUUCACCAUAUGUUAAUGUGAAGAGUGAACAGUAAAUGGUUAAUCUUACUGCGAUCUGGUUCUUAUUAACUGUGGUUUAUCCGGAUGUUAAAUUCGGCGUUUCGUUACACCCGAAGGAGAACGUGACAGUGAAAAAGCGGCAUUAUCAGGUGUUUCAAGUGCUGCAAUGUCAGCUCAAUCCAGCAUCAAGUCGACGCCGCCCAGCGACAAGGGCAGUAAACCGACAUCAAGUAAGCCCACCCAGGCGUUAUCAGGUGUUCCAAGUGCUGCAAUGUCAGCUCGAUCCGGGAUCAAGUCGAUGGCGCCCAGCGACAAGGGCAGUAGAACGACAUCAAGUAAGUCCACACAGGCAAGAGCCAAGGCAGAAGCCGCCAAGGUGCGACUGCAUUACGCCAAACAAGAGGCAGUUUUGAAAAUGAAACUGGCCACCAAAGAAGCCGAAAGGGCCGCCAGACAAAGAGAAGAGGCCGCCAAAGAAGCCGAAAUCCAGAAAGAAAGGGCUGCCAGAGAAGCCGAAAUCCAGAAAGAAGAGGCUGCCAGACAAAGAGAACAGGCCGCCAGAGAAGCCGAAACCCAGUUGGAAAUGACAAAAAUAUCGACAGAGUUGCAUGUGCUGCAGCUAGAAGGAGAAGGAGAAGCUGCCAGGGUGGAAGCAGAGUACAUAGAAGAAGCUGAAGGGUCGCGUGAUCUGACCGAAACAAGCUCUGCUUUGGAAAGGACCAGACUGGAACGCACGAGCGACUAUGUACAAUAUCAAGCAGACAGGCAGGCUCGUCUCCCCUCUCCAUACCUAUUCGAUAACUUCCCCAGCUACGAGGAAGAGAAUUUACCCUCGCGGCCCCGCGAUGAAGUCAAGAAUGAAAGAGCUGACAACCGAUAUACUUUGACACCAAAGUUACAAAGUUCGAUGCGAAGAGACGCGGAGGUUGAAUCCAGGAUGGCAAAUUCCAUGAGAAACGUGCGUUCUCAGUCAUAUGGGCGCCAACGUACUUCUCCAGCCCGCAUGCCGCUUGCAGCCGAUCCCACGCUGCAGUAUUUAGCACGACGGGAUCUCGUCACUUCGGGACUGUACCAGUUUGACGAUAAACCCGAAAAUUACCGUGCUUGGCUCUCCACAUUCACCAACGUGAUUGACGGGGUCCAGCUCAGUGCAACCCAAAGGUUGGACCUUAUGGCGAAAUGGCUGGGGAAAGAAUCACGCGACCAGGUGAGACGCAUGCGUUCAGUGUACAUCAACAAACCUGAGCUAGCCUUAAGCGAAGCGUGGGAGAGACUUUGGGAGAGAUAUGGGUCCCCCGACAUUAUUGAAGGGGCGCUAUAUCGACGUCUGGAAAACUUUCCUAAGGUGUCAGCCAAAGAUCACUUUAAGUUAAGAGAAUUCGGAGAUUUACUCAUGGAGAUCCGAGGCGCCAAAGAAGAUGGCUAUUCAGCUGGUUUAGUAUUCCUAGAUACUCCAUCCGGGAUUAGACCAAUUGUGGACAUACUUCCAUUUGGGCUGCAGGACAAGUGGCUGACUGUUGCCUCAGAGUACAAGGAAGACCACGAUGGUCGAUUUCCUCCCUUUGAGCUCCUCACUAGGUUUGUGUGCAAGGAGGCGAAGAGGCGAAACGACCCUAGCCUUGUAGGUCCAGGAAGCAGUUCGAUUUACACCAAGCCAGGCAGAUCCGUUUCGAAUGUUUUCAACAUUGAUAAACCCGUGUCAGUGCUCAAGACCGAAGCCCUUACGACUAACAACGACCCUGGCAAGUAUUGUCCAUUGCAUAACAAACCUCACCCCCUGAAAGCAUGCAGAAUGUUUAGGGAAAAAACCCUUGAAGAGAGGACGGCUCUUCUCAAGGAGAAAAGAAUAUGUUUUAGAUGCUGUUCCUCAACCUCUCACCUCGCCAGAGAGUGUACGAUCGCCGUGAAGUGUCCGGAAUGUGGCAGCCCAGAUCACGUCGAGGCCAUGCAUCCCGACCUGUCACCGCAAACCGAGAGUACUCCUUCACCCCCACAACGGGACGGCGGGGAGGGAGAGGCUCACUCUAGGUCAAUAGCUGUCAGCACGAACUGUACAGAAGUUUGCGGUCAAGCUCAGUCAAGUCGUUCUUGUUCCAAGAUCUGCCUCACUAAGGUGUACCCUAAAGGAGCCAAAGACAAGGCCAUCAAAGCCUAUGUGAUUCUGGAUGAUCAGAGCAAUCGUUCACUAGUCAGUCCAGAGUUCUUUAAAUUGUUCAACAUUGAGAGUGAGCGGUUCCCAUACUACCUCAAAACUUGCUCAGGCAACAUGAAAACCCAAGGAAGGAAGGCAGAAGGCAUCCAGAUCGAGUCCCUGGAUGGUAAAGUCGUCAUCUGUCUCCCUCCGCUCUUAGAGUGCAAUGAAAUCAUGAAUAACCGCGCUGGGAUCCCGACACCAAGUGCGGUGCUACACCAGCCGCAUCUCCACCACAUCGCCAAACACAUCCCAGAACUGGAUCCGAAAGCGGAAAUACUCCUGCUAUUAGGAAGAGAUGUUAUCCAGGUACACAAGGUUAGGCAGCAGAUCAAUGGACCACUCAACGCCCCCUUCGCGCAACGUCUGGAUCUGGGCUGGGUGGUGAUAGGAGAGGUGUGUCUCGGUGACGUACACAAACCGAUGGUUAACACACUCAAGACCAAUGUGCUAGAGAGUGGCCGCCAUUCAAUCUUUCAACCCUGCCCGAGUGUCCCGUGCAUCAAGGAAGCACAACAAGGCGUUAACAAGCGCGAGGCAAGCGACGAGUCGCUGGGCCAGUCAGUCUUCGCUCUAACGAAGUAUGACAACAAACUUGCACAAUCAGCUCAAGAUACCAUUUCUUUAAAAAUCAAAGACACCAAGGUCUUCAGAGAUGAAGCAAAUAAUGGGGUUGCCCCAUUGCCAAUCAGAGAACCACGCCAGCGCUCACCAGAUAACAAAGAGCAGGCAGUCAAACGGUUCACGUCCUUACGGAAAACCCGGAAAAGGAAACCUGAGAUGCAGCAACACACCCGAUUGGCCCACGAGGUACUGUGCACCCUAAUGGCAGAGGUCACAGCCAUUAUAAACGCACAAUCAUUCCUACCUGUGUCUUCUGACCCAGAAAACCCCUUUAUACUUUCGCCAUCAACGCUCCUUACGCAGAAGGCAGGAGCACCUCCUCCACCAGGAGACUUCUCAGACAAGGAUUUGUACACAAAGCAAUGGAGACAAGUCCAGGCUCUGGCAAAUCAGUUCUGGUCCCGCUGGAGACAGAAAUAUCUACCCUCGUUGCAACAGAGACGAAAGUGGACAGAACCCCGUAGGAAUCUUCAAGUUGGAAACUUAGUCCUGCUCAGGGACAAGCAAGUCGCUCGCAACAGCUGGCCAACGGCCAGAAUCACUGCUACAUUCCCUAUCGGGGAUGGACAUGUCAGGAAGAUCGAAUUGAAGACUACCGACCAAGGCGAUGUGAAAAUUUACCAAGGGCCAGUUACAGAAGUUAUUCUACUUCUACCCAAUGACUGAUUAAGAGACUAAGUUUUGUACUCUGCUCAUUGUGACCUUACGAAGGUCAAGCGGGGAGUGUGCUGUCUUUACGACAGUUAUUUAGUUUAUAAUAUUUUCGCUUAGUAAUUCAUUCAAUAGUAUUUUCUAGUUAGAAUUAGAAGUGUUUAAAGUAUAUUCAUUGCAUGUAAAAUAUAUCGGCAUGCGAUGACGUCACAUCCGGUUUCGCCGCGUCUUGUGGGAAAACACCGGUUUGAAAUUAGCGCGAGGGUGGGGGCUUUCCACGAGGCACACCUGAGCACAAGCAGUUUGCAGGCAUGAGAAAUCACAGUGAGAGCAACGCUUUUUCACCAUAUGUUAAUGUGAAGAGUGAACAGUAAAUGGUUAAUCUUACUGCGAUCUGGUUCUUAUUAACUGUGGUUUAUCCGGACGUUAAAUUCGGCGUUUCGUUACACC